rnacentral:rRNA from 1 species
UACGGGGGGGGCAAGCGUUGUUCGGAAUUACUGGGCGUAAAGGGCUCGUAGGUGGCCAACUAAGUCAGACGUGAAAUCCCUCGGCUUAACCGGGGAACUGCAUCUGAUACUGGAUGGCUUGAGAUUGGGAGAGGGAUGCGGAAUUCCAGGUGUAGCGGUGAAAUGCGCAGAUAUCAGGAGGAACACCGAUUGCGAAGGCAGCUCGCUGGAACGUUACUGACGCUGAGACGCGAAAGCGUGGGGAGCAAACAGG